ensembl:lncRNA
CGUGUCCUUCUAUAACAUAAUCUCUGGCACACUGGUCCACCUCCACACCUUCAACACCACAUUCACUGAACCUGUAUACCCUGGGUUUAGAGUUGGGUUACGUGACUCUCAUAUCUACAUCUGUGCUGACUCAGAAAACUGAACCUGAGCUCAUAAAGUAGCAAUAUAGCAAAGUUACUGAGCUACAGUAAUAUAACUGUGAUCCAUAUAUUAUAAAAUGCACAACAUUAUACAUUUGAAUGUGGUAAAUGUUUCAAAUGUGAUUCAAAUUACACCAACAGUCCACCAAAAGUCCUAGUGUCAUCUUCUUAACUUCUAGAUCAUGCAGUAGUAGUGGAAAUAAAAAACUGAGGAAAAAAAUUUAAAAGCAGGCAAAACAUUUGAUUAAGUGAACCGGUGGUUAUAAUAUGUUUGCAAUUCAAGUGCAUAGUUCAGAGGCUUUUGGAUAGGAAUCCUGUAGCACCACCAUCUGGCCAAAAAUUACUGAAAAGCAUCAGACAGAGCAGGAGUAGUUCAAAGUUCAGACUGGAUUCAAAACAGUACCAAAAGUGAGGCUUCGGGAUCACUUUGGAUCAGACUGUACUGGACCUGUGAAGAAUGAGAUGAGAAGAGCAUUAACAAACACUGAUACAAGUUCAUCACGUUGCUGUGUGAUGAUUUGACAGAGAACUCAAAUGAAAGCAGCAAUAAGGGAAUAUCAACACAUUCUCUUAUCAGCUCUGGUUUGAAGCUGCUAUCAAAACAUUAGAUUGAGUUUGCAGAAGUCUACAGUCAGAUUUUUGGAGCAAACACAUCCAAGACUCAAAGCUGGAAGUCUUCUUUCCUUCCUUUAAUUUGCUGAAGAAUUUGAAUAUUCUACCAACAACUUCUGCUUCUUAAAUUCUUUUUAAAUCCAUAAAUAUUUUAUUCCAAAUUGCAGUGGUUAGCGAGGCCUCCAUGUCUGAACCUCCUGGUCAGCUGAGAUCUUUACCUGUGCCUGUAUAAUCUGCUUUCAUGUAUAAUAGAAAGAUAUAAAUGAAGAAUGAAAACUUUCCUCAAUGCUGGAAAUGUUUUAGUGUAAUGUUACAGCUGUGAAUGCUGAUCAGAGAAAACUCUGUUUGUUCUGAGUUUAUAGACUGCAGUGUUUCAUUCAUUUUAAAUGAUGAUUAAACUCUCAUCCUUCCUUUGG